CGGGGCGUGGCGCAGCCCGGUAGCGCACCUGCAUGGGGUGCAGGCGGUCGUUGGUUCAAAUACAAUCGCCCAGACCA
rnacentral:tRNA from 1 species